rnacentral:lncRNA from 13 species
AACUAAAUGAGGCACCCCUGUUGCGAAUCCCACAAAGAGCUCACAAUAAAACUACCACUCAGGAGCCUUGGAGCUGUGUUUCCUGAACACGACAUGCCUACCUUGCUCCCCUUCCAACUUCCUGAGCUGGCUCUGCCAACCUGCCACUUGAUGGUAGUCUGAUACUCUUCUGUACGGACAGCCUACAAAUGUGCUCAAGAUAUCAGACAUCACAUAUUAUGUUUAUGCUUGUUUGUACUGGAGAACAUGGAAGAGCAUCGCAGGAGAAAUUGUGCCUCCUUCACCAUCCAGGCUGGGUUGGGGGUGGGGAAAGGGGUCGGAGUGGAGCUAUGUAGUGGUGGCGGCUCGCAUAAGGAGAAGGAAGUUCUGGCUGAGGUUCUGUGACUUGGUGCAGGAAAGAAAGCAGAAUAUGGAAGAUCUGUCUGACUCUGAAAAGUGGCACCUGGACCCAGCAGAUGGAAAGCUCCUGGGAAGCUCUCCAGUACUGAAGGGACAAAUCUUGGCAAAUCCAUUAGCUGUCUUUGUGACCUUGGAAGUUUAUCUUAAGCCUCUUUGUGCCUCAGCUUCUGUAAAAUAGGUAUAAUAAUAGAGUUGUGAAAAUAAAAACCUCAGUAUAUGCA